GAUGAAGAACGUAGCGAAAUGCGAUAAGUUGUGUGAAUUGCAGAAUUCAGUGAAUCAUCGAAUCUUUGAACGCACAUUGCGCCCCUUGGUAUUCCAUGGGGCAUGCCUGUUCGAGCGUCAUUUGUACACUCAAGCUUUGCUUGGUGUUGGGUGUUUGUCCCGCGUUGCGCGUGGACUCGCCUUAAAGCGAUUGGCAGCCGGCAUAUUGGCCUUGGAGCGCAGCACAUUUUGCGCUUCUAGUCAUGAAUGUUGGCGUCCAUUAAGCCUAUACAUUUGCUCUUGACCUCGGAUCAGGUAGGGAUACCCGCUGAACUUAAGCAUAUCAAUAAGCGGAGGA
rnacentral:misc_RNA from 1 species